rnacentral:rRNA from 1 species
UACGAAGGGGGCUAGCGUUGCUCGGAAUCACUGGGCGUAAAGCGCACGUAGGCGGGUUCUUAAGUCAGGGGUGAAAUCCUGGAGCUCAACUCCAGAACUGCCUUUGAUACUGGGAAUCUCGAGUCCGGGAGAGGUGAGUGGAACUGCGAGUGUAGAGGUGAAAUUCGUAGAUAUUCGCAAGAACACCAGUGGCGAAGGCGGCUCACUGGCCCGGUACUGACGCUGAGGUGCGAAAGCGUGGGGAGCAAACCGG